GAUGAACGCUAGCGGCAGGCUUAAUACAUGCAAGUCGUGGGGCAGCAUGAGUAGCAAUACUUGAUGGCGACCGGCAAACGGGUGAGGAACACGUACACAACCUUCCUUCAAGCGGGGAAUAGCCCAGAGAAAUUUGGAUUAAUACCCCAUAAUAUAUUUGAUAAGGCAUCUUAUUAAAUAUUAAAGCUUCGGCACUUGAUGAUGGGUGUGCGGCUGAUUAGAUAGUUGGCGGGGUAACGGCCCACCAAGUCUACGAUCAGUAGCUGAUGUGAGAGCAUGAUCAGCCACACGGGCACUGAGACACGGGCCCGACUCCUACGGGAGGCAGCAGUAAGGAAUAUUGGACAAUGGACGAAAGUCUGAUCCAGCCAUGCCGCGUGAAGGAUUAAGGUCCUCUGGAUUGUAAACUUCUUUAUAUGGGACGAAAAAGGCGAAUUCUUGUUCACUUGACGGUACCAUAUGAAUAAG
rnacentral:rRNA from 1 species